rnacentral:lncRNA from 1 species
GGGAAGGUAGAAAAGGCAUGGGAAAGUCGAUUUAGGAGAUAAUGUAUUGCAUUUAAAGAACUUGAAUGCCAUUACUUUUCAUCACUUAACUUUUCAAAGAACACUUUCAGCUUCCUUAUUUGCAUGUUUCAUUGUUUUCCAGCCUUUACACUGUAUGCUUAAAAUGCAAAUGGAAUAAUAUAAGAAUAAUGAGAAGUAAUACUUGGAAGUGUUCUGAGAAAAUGCUGCAAAAAGGGUCUGGUUUCCAUCUGAUUGAAAGGAGCCACCGACACUCCUGAUAUUCCUGCUUGUGGGCUAGUUAACGUUGUGAGUACGUGUUCCCACUGGCAACCAAGAAGCUUCCUCCAGGAGGGACAUGGGUAUCACCCAUGGAAGACACCACAGAAGACAAAGGUGUGUUUCUUCUCACGGACAUGCAUGUUGAAUGGAAGCCUGACAGUUGCUGGCCUAAAGGACCAGGAAGAUAUACAUCAAGAUAUGUACAUAAAUAUAUAACACAAGAAGGCGAAGGCAUAGGGAACUACUGCGGAGGUGGGCGGUGCUUCUCUCUCAGAACUAGAACCUCCAGCAUGUCUGCACAACAUUCGUUGGUUUGGUGAGUGUUUGUCUCCUUCUUUAAAGUGGAUUAUUACUGUUGCUGUUGUUGUAAUGGAGUCAUCAUGUUUCCCAGCUGUGCCUGCUUGCACAAAGAACAAAGAAGAUGGAGAAAAUGACAAUUUACAUAGAAAACCCAGCCUUGGAUAACUACUUCUACCACUUGCAAAUAGGCGAUGAAACCUUAUCCACAAGAGAGAGCUAUUUCUAAAUUUUAUGAAUAGGCCUAAAUACACAAACCUAUGUAUAAAACACUCCCAAAUAAGUGGUACAGUUCAUACUGUGGAUUGGAGUUUUUCCUUCCAUACUGUGUGUGUGUGUGUGUGUGUGUGUGUUUUGACAGGCAGCGUUAGACAGUGAGAGAGAGACAGAGACAGAGACAAAGGUCUUCCUUUUCCAUUGGUUCAACCCCGAAAUGGCUGCCAUGGCCGGUG